AGCGAGGGGGGCCACGUUCAUCAUCGAGCUGUCUUGCCAAUAAUUGCAUUUGCAAACUCAUCAUGAGCUUUGCGGAAAGGGUCACCGAAUGGCGAGCUGAGGGUGUUUAACGCGGAGGUGGUCCCUCACCCGUUUGGUGCAAUGAAACCUAAUCCAGAAUUGGCAACCAUAUCUUGUAGUUUCCAUGUAAUGGAUCACACCUCACAAAAUAUGUAGAUUCUCUCAUAUGUAUAGCUACCAAGGUGAGAGUGUUUUUCCCGGUAUGUGCACAUGGUCAUCACAGUUGGCAGUUCCUGGAGAGCAACAGGGGAUCUCUGGACUGUUCAUUUCAGGAUUCUUGCGCAAGAGUUGCUUUCCUGUUUCUUCUUCAGUUCUGCUUUCAUGUACUUCUUCAUAAAUUUGCUUGCCUGAUUAUCCAGCUGCCCUGCCAUCCCUAUGAAGAAGCUUAAAGAGCUGAAACCUACUUUUUAAGGAAUCUGCCAUCAGACUACCUGAUGUACAGUAUGUAUCCAGAUGCUUAUGCCUUCUCCAGGUUAUUCAGCUGCUACCCAGAGAUAAAUACUAUGGCAAGAGCCUCAAGGAUUGGAAACAAGGAGAUGUGUUUUAAAAACCUGCAUUUGCUUUGUCUUUCAUGAUUUCUAAGAGCUCCUAAUUCUAAAUACUUAAACCAGGACAAGUACUAGGGGCUCCCACUGGUGGAUUUGAAGAGGAGCAUUCCUAUAAGGGUAAAGCAGUUAUUUACUUGCACUGUUGCUUUGAUGGGUUACUUAUCAGUAAGGGACUGUAAAUUCCAUGAAAAUCAGAGGAACNUGUUUUAAUUGAAUAUGCCUUGGGUGUUGAUAAUAAGUGUUUCAUCCUUGGCCGCCUAUUUACCUGGAAGUAAAUACGUAUUUACUGUGGCACUGAAUAUCAAUUGAUGUGGAGCAAUAACAAGUAGAGGCUGUUUAUGGCUCUCCCAAAAGA
rnacentral:lncRNA from 1 species